rnacentral:rRNA from 1 species
GAUGAACGCUGGCAGCGUGCCUAAUACAUGCAAGUCGAGCGAACGGACGAGAAGCUUGCUUCUCUGAUGUUAGCGGCGGACGGGUGAGUAACACGUGGAUAACCUACCUAUAAGACUGGGAUAACUUCGGGAAACCGGAGCUAAUACCGGAUGAUAUUUUGAACCGCAUGGUUCAAAAGUGAAAGACGGUCUUGCUGUCACUUAUAGAUGGAUCCGCGCUGCAUUAGCUAGUUGGUAAGGUAACGGCUUACCAAGGCAACGAUGCAUAGCCGACCUGAGAGGGUGAUCGGCCACACUGGAACUGAGACACGGUCCAGACUCCUACGGGAGGCAGCAGUAGGGAAUCUUCCGCAAUGGGCGAAAGCCUGACGGAGCAACGCCGCGUGAGUGAUGAAGGUCUUCGGAUCGUAAAACUCUGUUAUUAGGGAAGAACAUAUGUGCAAGUAACUGUGCACAUCUUGACGGUACCUAAUCAGAAAGCCACGGCUAACUACGUG